UACAGAGGUGGCGAGCGUUGUUCGGAUUUACUGGGCGUAAAGGGUGCGUAGGUGGUUUUGUGUGUCGGGCGUGAAAUCCCACUGCUCAACGGUGGAACGUCGUCCGAAACUACAGGACUUGAGUGCAGGAGAGGAGAGCGGAAUUCUUGGUGUAGCGGUGGAAUGCGUUGAUAUCAAGAGGAACACCAGUGGCGUAGGCGGCUCUCUGGAAUGCAACUGACACUGAGGCACGAAAGCGUGGGGAGCAAACAGG
rnacentral:rRNA from 1 species